UAGGUUAGGUUAAGUGAAAAUUAAGAAAUUAAGAAAUUAAAAUUGAUACUAUAAGCUGGUAGAGCAUCAAUUAAGGAUAAAGAUAAGCUAAAAAUAUUGAUAGGUCAUGGACCUCCUUUUCAAGUUAUUUGAGAUCUAAAAUAUGGCGGAAAACGCUGACUCGGACUUUUACCUUAUAUUUGCAUUGGUAUUAUUUGGGUCUCAAAACAAAAGAAAGAAAAUCAAGAAUCUUCUAAAAUUUUGGUAAAUGACCUUUCUUGAGCUAUUAAGUCUUAUAAGAAAAAAUAAAUGGGUUUUAUGGGGCAAAAUAUUUUAUGGAAAAACACCAAGGAGUCCGAACAUUUGACAAAAAUUCAAAAACCUCACCUAAGUACAUCCU
rnacentral:lncRNA from 1 species